CCUACGGGAGGCUGCAGUGAGGAAUAUUGGUCAAUGGACGAGAGUCUGAACCAGCCAAGUAGCGUGAAGGAUGACUGCCCUAUGGGUUGUAAACUUCUUUUAUAUGGGAAUAAAAUGUUCCACGUUUGGGAUUUUGUAUGUACCAUCUGAAUAAGGAUCGGCUAACUCCGUGCCAGCCGCCGCGGUAAUACGGAGGAUCCGCGCGUUAUCCGGAUUUAUUGGGUUUAAAGGGAGCGUAGGUGGAUUGUUAAGUCAGUUGUGAAAGUUUGCGGCUCAACAGUAAAAUUGCAGUUGAAACUGGCAGUCUUGAGUACAGUAGAGGUGGGCGGAAUUCGUGGUGUAGCGGUGAAAUGCUUAGAUAUCACGAAGAACUCCGAUUGCGAAGGCAGCUCACUGGACUGCAACUGACACUGAGGCUCGAAAGUGUGGGUAUCAAACAGGAUUAGAUACCCCAGUAGUC
rnacentral:rRNA from 1 species